UACGUAGGGUGCAAGCGUUAAUCGGAAUUACUGGGCGUAAAGCGUGCGCAGGCGGUUCGGAAAGAGAGGUGUGAAAUCCCAGGGCUUAACCUUGGAACUGCACUUCUAACUACCGGGCUAGAGUACGUCAGAGGGGGGUGGAAUUCCCGGUGUAGCAGUGAAAUGCGUAGAGAUCGGGAGGAACACCAGUGGCGAAGGCGGCCUUCUGGACCAAUACUGACGCUCAUGCACGAAAGCGUGGGGAGCAAACAGG
rnacentral:rRNA from 1 species